rnacentral:rRNA from 1 species
AUUAGUGGCGGACGGGUGAGUAACGCGUGGAUAACCUGCCGUAUACAGGGGGAUAACACUUAGAAAUAGGUGCUAAUACCGCAUAAGCGCACGGUUCCGCAUGGAACAGUGUGAAAAACUCCGGUGGUAUACGAUGGAUCCGCGUCUGAUUAGCCAGUUGGCGGGGUAACGGCCCACCAAAGCGACGAUCAGUAGCCGGCCUGAGAGGGUGAACGGCAACAUUGGGACUGAGACACGGCCCAAACUCCUACGGAAGGCAGCAG